UACGUAGGGUGCGAGCGUUGUCCGGAAUUAUUGGGCGUAAAGGGCUCGUAGGCGGUUUGUCGCGUCGGGAGUGAAAACCUCGGGCUUAACACGGGGCUUGCUUUCGAUACGGGCAGACUAGAGGUAUGCAGGGGAGAACGGAAUUCCUGGUGUAGCGGUGAAAUGCGCAGAUAUCAGGAGGAACACCGGUGGCGAAGGCGGUUCUCUGGGCAUGAACUGACGCUGAGGCACGAAAGCGUGGGGAGCAAACAGG
rnacentral:rRNA from 1 species